UACGGAGGAUCCAAGCGUUAUCCGGAAUUACUGGGCGUAAAGAGUUGCGUAGGUGGCAUAGUAAGUCGGUAGUGAAAGCGUGGGGCUCAACCCCAUACACAUUAUCGAAACUGCUAAGCUUGAGGAUGAGAGAGGUUAUUGGAAUUCCCAGUGUAGGAGUGAAAUCCGUAGAUAUUGGGAGGAACACCGAUGGCGUAGGCAGAUAACUGGCUCAUUCCUGACACUAAGGCACGAAAGCGUGGGGAGCAAACGGG
rnacentral:rRNA from 1 species